rnacentral:rRNA from 1 species
CAGCCGCCGCGGUAAUACCGAGGGUGCGAGCGUUAAUCGGAUUUACUGGGCGUAAAGCGUGCGUAGGCGGCUUUUUAAGUCGGAUGUGAAAUCCCUGAGCUUAACUUAGGAAUUGCAUUCGAUACUGGGAAGCUAGAGUAUGGGAGAGGAUGGUAGAAUUCCAGGUGUAGCGGUGAAAUGCGUAGAGAUCUGGAGGAAUACCGAUGGCGAAGGCAGCCAUCUGGCCUAAUACUGACGCUGAGGUACGAAAGCAUGGGGAGCAAACAGGAUUAGAUACCCCUGUAGUCCCUGUCUCUUAUAA